UACGUAGGUGGCAAGCGUUGUCCGGAAUUAUUGGGCGUAAAGCGCGCGCAGGCGGUCCUUUAAGUCUGAUGUGAAAGCCCACGGCUCAACCGUGGAGGGUCAUUGGAAACUGGGGGACUUGAGUACAGAAGAGAAGAGUGGAAUUCCACGUGUAGCGGUGAAAUGCGUAGAGAUGUGGAGGAACACCAGCGGCGAAGGCGGCAUCCUGGACUGGUCCGUGACGCUCAGGAGCGAAAGCGUGGGGAGCGAUCCGG
rnacentral:rRNA from 1 species